rnacentral:rRNA from 1 species
GUGGGGAAUCUUGCGCAAUGGGCGAAAGCCUGACGCAGCCAUGCCGCGUGAAUGAUGAAGGUCUUAGGAUUGUGAAAUUCUUUCACCGGGGACGAUAAUGACGGUACCCGGAGAAGAAGCUCCGGCUAACUUCGUGCCAGCAGCCGCGGUAAUACGAAGGGGGCUAGCGUUGCUCGGAAUUACUGGGCGUAAAGGGCGCGUAGGCGGACAGCUUAGUCAGAGGUGAAAGCCCAGGGCUCAACCUUGGAAUUGCCUUUGAUACUGGCUGUCUUGAGUUUGGGAGAGGUGAGUGGAACUCCGAGUGUAGAGGUGAAAUUCGUAGAUAUUCGGAAGAACACCAGUGGCGAAGGCGACUCACUGGCCCAAUACUGACGCUGAGGCGCGAAAGCGUGGGGAGCAAACAGGAUUAGAUACCCUAGUAGUCC